CUACGGGAUGCAGCAGUGGGGAAUAUUGCGCAAUGGGGGAAACCCUGACGCAGUGACGCCGUGUGAGUGAUGAAGGUUUUCGGAUCGUAAAGCUCUGUCAGACGGGAAGAAUAAGAACAGUAAAAAUAUUGCUGUUUGAUGACGGUACCGUCAGAGGAAGCAACGGCUAACUCCGUGCCAGCAGCCGCGGUAAUACGGAGGGUGCACAGUUGUUCGGAAUUACUGGGCGUAAAGCGCAUGUAGGCGGAUAUGUAGGUCAGAUGUGAAAUCACUUGGCUCAACCAAGGAAGUGCAUCUGAAACCCCAUAUCUUGAGUACGAGAGAGGGAAGUGGAAUUCCCAGUGUAGAGGUGAAAUUCAUAGAUAUUGGGAAGAACACCGGUGGCGAAGGCGGCUUUCUGGCUCGUAACUGACGCUGAGAUGCGAAAGCGUGGGGAGCAAACAGGAUUAGAUACCCCUGUAGUC
rnacentral:rRNA from 1 species